AAGUCUGGUGCCAGCAGCCGCGGUAAUUCCAGCUCUAAUAGCGUAUAUUAAUACUGUUGCAGUUAAAACGCUCGUAGUUGAACUUAGAGUUAUUACAAGUUUGGUUUAAUUGAUUUUAAACUGCUUGCUUAAUUCUUAUCUACUAGAUACUCUAUUCUGUACUUAAUUGUAUGGAAUAUCACCUAGCCAGUGGAACUUUGGUGAAAUAAUGCCUUUUUAAUACCAGAGUGUAAAACUUAGAAGUGUUAAUUUGGGAUCACAUUAUUUUAUUGAAGUGGGGUUCUAGUUAAUUUACUUUGAGUAAAUUAGAGUGUUCAAAGCAGCCUCUUGGGGCUUUGAAUAGAUUUAGCAUGGGAUAAUAGAAUAGGAUUUGAUAAUCUAUUUGUUGGUUUGAAUUAAUCAAAUAAUGAUUAAUAGGGACAGUUGGGG
rnacentral:rRNA from 1 species